AUUGAACGCUGGCGGCAGGCCUAACACAUGCAAGUCGAGCGGAUGAAGGGAGCUUGCUCCUGGAUUCAGCGGCGGACGGGUGAGUAAUGCCUAUGAAUCUGCCUGGUAGUGGGGGAUAACGUCCGGAAACGGGCGCUAAUACCGCAUACGUCCUGAGGGAGAAGGAGGGGGAGCUUCGGACCUCACGCUAUCAGAUGAGCCUAGGUCGGGUUAGCUAGUUGGUGGGGUAAUGGCCUACUAAGGCGACGAUCCGUAACUGGUCUGAGAGGAUGAUCAGUCACACUGGAACUGAGACACGGUCCAGACUCCUACGGGAGGGAGCAGUGGGGAAUAUUGGGCAAUGGGCGAAAGCCUGAUCCAGCCAUGCCGCGUGUGUGAAGAAGGUCUUCGGAUUGUAAAGCACUUUAAGUUGGGAGGAAGGGCAGUAAGUUAAUACCUUGCUGUUUUGACGUUACCAACAGAAGAAGCACCGGCUAACUACGUG
rnacentral:rRNA from 1 species